ensembl:rRNA 5S_rRNA 5S ribosomal RNA
UCACAGCCAUAUCACCCUGCAGCCCAAGACUGGUCGCCCACUGAAGCUAAGCAGGGUUGAGCCUGGUCAGUACCUGGAUGGGAGACUUUGGGAGAGGUUGCUGUUGGAA